rnacentral:rRNA from 1 species
UGCAGUCGAACGGUAGCACAGAGAGCUUGCUCCUUGGGUGACGAGUGGCGGACGGGUGAGUAAUGUCUGGGAAACUGCCCGAUGGAGGGGGAUAACUACUGGAAACGGUCGCUAAUACCGCAUAACGUCACAAGACCAAUGUGGGGGACCUUCGGGCCUCACACCAUCAGAUGUGCCCAUAUGGGAUUAUCUAGUAUGUGGGGUAAUGGCUCACCUACGCGACUAUCCCUAUCUGGUCUGAGAGGAUGACCAGCCACACUGGAUCUGACACACGGUCCACACUCCUACGGGAGGCAGCUGUGGGGAAUAUUGCACAGUGGGCGCACGCCUGAUGCACCCAUGCCGCGUGUAUGAAAAACGCCUUCGGGUUGUAAAGUACUUUCAGUGGGGAGGAACGCGUUAAUGUUAAUAGCCUUGGCGAUUGACGUUACCCGCAGAAGACGCACCGGCUAACUCCGUGCCAGCAGCCGCGGUAAUACAGAGGGUGCACGCGUUAAUCAGAUUUACUGGGCGUAAAGCGCACGCACGCUGUCUGUCAUGUCAGAUGUGAAAUCCCCGGGCUCAACCUGGGAACUGCUUUCAAAACUGGCACGCUAGACUCUUGUAGAGGGGGGUAGAAUUCCAUGUGUAGCGGUGAUAUGCGUAGAUAUCUGGAAGAA